rnacentral:rRNA from 1 species
UGGGGAAUAUUGGACAAUGGGGGGAACCCUGAUCCAGCCAUGCCGCGUGUGUGAAGAGGCCUUAUGGUUGUAAAGCACUUUAAGCGAGGAGGAGGGUACUGGUAUUAAUACUACCAGGUACUGGACGUUACUCGCAGAAUAAGCACCGGCUAACUCUGUGCCAGCAGCCGCGGUAAUACAGAGGGUGCGAGCGUUAAUCGGAUUUACUGGGCGUAAAGCGUGCGUAGGCGGCUAAUUGAGUCGGAUGUGAAAUCCCCGAGCUUAACUUGGGAAUUGCAUUCGAUACUGGUUAGCUAGAGUGUGGGAGAGGAUGGUAGAAUUCCAGGUGUAGCGGUGAAAUGCGUAGAGAUCUGGAGGAAUACCGAUGGCGAAGGCAGCCAUCUGGCCUAACACUGACGCUGAGGUACGAAAGCAUGGGGAGCAAACAGG